rnacentral:rRNA from 1 species
CGAAGACCGGAAUAACCUGCCGAAAGGCAAGCUAAUACCGGAUAAGCCCACGGGGAUUUCGAUCCCUGAGGGAAAAGAUGGCCUCUGCAUGCAAGCUAUCACUUCUGGAUGAGCCCGCGGCCCAUCAGCUAGUUGGCGGGGUAAUGGCCCACCAAGGCAACGACGGGUAGCUGGUCUGAGAGGACGAUCAGCCACACUGGAACUGAGACACGGUCCAG